rnacentral:lncRNA from 1 species
UGAAGCAGUACCAGGAGAAGUUCAAGGGGACGGCGCUCGCUGUCACCUGGAACUACCUGAGGGACUCCAUGGCCGCCUACCUCUCCCAGCCCAACCCCAUCACCUCCCGCUGGGAGGGAGAGGACCAUCUCAGGAACCCUAAAUUCCAGCUCGACGCCUUCAGAGUAAGCUCCUCCUCCUCCUCCGUCCCUCCUCUCCUUCUAGGGUUUCCUCUCCCGCUGAAGCAAGGCCUCUGCGACCUGCAGUAUCGCACCUCGCGGCUGCUUCAGACCGCCGCCAUGCGCCUGCGCAAGCACAGCAAGACGCUGGGGAGCUUCGGCGCCUG